UGCGGAGGGAUCAUUACACAACAAAAUAUGAAGGCCUGGCUUUGCGGCCGGCUGAAAUAUUUUUUUCACCCAUGUCUUUUGCGCACUUGUUGUUUCCUGGGCGGGUUCGCCCGCCACCAGGACCAAACCAUAAACCUUUUUUUUAUGCAGUUGCAAUCAGCGUCAGUAUAAACAAUGUAAUUAUUACAACUUUCAACAACGGAUCUCUUGGUUCUGGCAUCGAUGAAGAACGCAGCGAAAUGCGAUACGUAGUGUGAAUUGCAGAAUUCAGUGAAUCAUCGAAUCUUUGAACGCACAUUGCGCCCUUUGGUAUUCCAAAGGGCAUGCCUGUUCGAGCGUCAUUUGUACCCUCAAGCUUUGCUUGGUGUUGGGCGUUUUUGUCUCCCUCUUUGCUGGGAGACUCGCCUUAAAACGAUUGGCAGCCGGCCUACUGGUUUCGGAGCGCAGCACAUAUUUUGCACUCUGUAUCAGGAGAAAAGGACGGUAAUCCAUCAAGACUCUUACGAUUUUUAACUUUUGACCUCGGAUCAGGUAGGGAUACCCGCUGAACUUAAGCAUAUCA
rnacentral:rRNA from 1 species